AUGGAACGCUGGCGGCAGGCCUAACACAUGCAAGUCGAACGGUAACAGGAAGCAGCUUGCUGCUUCGCUGACGAGUGGCGGACGGGUGAGUAAUGUCUGGGAAACUGCCUGAUGGAGGGGGAUAACUACUGGAAACGGUAGCUAAUACCGCAUAACGUCGCAAGACCAAAGAGGGGGACCUUCGGGCCUCUUGCCAUCGGAUGUGCCCAGAUGGGAUUAGCUAGUAGGUGGGGUAACGGCUCACCUAGGCGCCGAUCCCUAGCUGGUCUGAGAGGAUGACCAGCCACACUGGAACUGAGACACGGUCCAGACUCCUACGGGAGGCAGCAGUGGGGAAUAUUGCACAAUGGGCGCAAGCCUGAUGCAGCCAUGCCGCGUGUAUGAAGAAGGCCUUCGGGUUGUAAAGUACUUUCAGCGGGGAGGAAAGCGAUAAGGUUAAUAACCUUGUCGAUUGACGUUACCCGCAGAAGAAGCACCGGCUAACUCCGUGCCAGCAGCCGCCGUAA
rnacentral:rRNA from 1 species